GACCCUCUCCCGGCUGGAGAGGUGACGGGCGGCUAGUUGAGGCUCUUGCUUUAGCUCCCGCGCGCUCUCCCGGCUGGAGAGGUGACGGGCGGCUAUGGCAAGAGCCUCAAUAGCCGCCCGUCACCUCUCCAGCCGGGAGAGGGUCGCGCGGGGCUGCUUUAGAGCCGCGCGCUCUCCCGGCUGGAGAGGUGACGCAUGGCUAUGGCAAGAACCUCAAUAGCCGCGCGUCACCUCUCCAGCCGG